rnacentral:rRNA from 1 species
AACGAUGCUAGCUUGCUAGCAGGCGUCGAGUGGCGGACGGGUGAGUAAUGCAUAGGAAUCUACCUAAUAGUGGGGGACAACCUGGUGAAAACCAGGCUAAUACCGCAUAAUCCCUACGGGGCAAAGCAGGGGACCUUCGGGCCUUGCGCUAAUAGAUGAGCCUAUGUCGGAUUAGCUAGUUGGUGAGGUAAUGGCUCACCAAGGCAACGAUCCGUAGCUGGUUUGAGAGGAUGAUCAGCCACACUGGGACUGAGACACGGCCCAGACUCCUACGGGAGGCAGCAGUGGGGAAUAUUGCACAAUGGAGGAAACUCUGAUGCAGCAAUGCCGCGUGUGUGAAGAAGGCCUUAGGGUUGUAAAGCACUUUCAGUAGGGAGGAAAAGUUUAAGGUUAAUAACCUUAGGCCUGACGUUACCUACAGAAGAAGCACCGGCUAACUCCGUGCCAGCAGCCGCG